UUGGCAAAAAUACUAUGAUUUAGCAGAAAUACUAUGAUUGAGCAGAAGUACUAAGAUGUAGUAGAAGUACUUUGAUUUAACAGAAAUACUAUUAUGGAGGAGUAAUACUUUAACAUGGGAGAAAUAUUGAUACAGACACACAAACAUACACAUACACAGAGCCUAAAGGGAACAGGGGCUGUUAAGAGUCUGGGCUUGGUAUAUCUAGGUCAGUUAAAUUAGCUGCACCUGCUGUAAUCAGCCCUUACACACACAGACACAAGCUGUGUCCCAAAACGUCGGCUGCAUCCUCCGGAGGCCGCAUUUGAAGGCCGAUUACGUCACAGCCAGGCGACGAAGGCUGUCCCAAUUCGUCGACUCCUUCAAAUGCAGCCGACAAAUGCGUCCUUCAUUUCCCCGAAUUUGAAGGAUGGGUUGGGUGUGUCCUUCGUGGCCCACCAUAUCCCAGAAUUCAUAGCGCGGUCCAGCCAAAUUUCAGCUGCCAACAAUGGCGGCCGCUACUAAGUUUUAAAAUUAGUCUUAUUAAUCUUUCUGGGUCACAAAAUAAACUUUUAACAUAUUUUCAGGCGAGAAAGUAGCGGUGUAAACUUCAAAUAUCUGCUUGGUUUAUCAAGACAUCUCAUAUUUCCAAAAGUGUGCCGACGUUUUCGGAGACGUCUGUUACCCACCUGCUCGAUAGCAAGCCGGGGUAGCAAGCCAAUGGUCACACAGCCGGCGAGCGCAGCGGACUCCCGGCUUUAGACCCCCGCUUUUUCACUACUCAGGUUAAACAUGAUAUAUAAGUCACUCGGAUAACUGAAAUAUGUAAUUGUUUUCCUUUUUUCGCUAUUUCAUUUGUUCAGGAAUAAAUCGGUUUAGAUUAAUCCAUCGGGUGGGUUCCCAGAAUUCAUAGCGCUGCCCAGCCAAAACCAGUUUUCAGCAAUGGCGGCAGUUACGGAGACGGUAGAAACAGCGGUCGAGGACAACUACAUUUUUAAAUGGAGCAAAGAGCAGACGACCAAUUUCAUUAAACUCCGGAGCGACAAUGAGCACCUGUUUACCGGUGCCAAAAACUCAGCCACUGUGGGUUGGAGGUAUAAGCAACAAUAUGCCGCUUUUAAUCUGUUAGGCAUAAGGGAGAGAGCUUAAUCUGUCUUUUAGUCCGAAGUGUGUACAUUUUGCUAUGGAUACUGUUCAGGAGUUAAGAAGAUUGAUAUGCUCUAUUAUUUUCUGUCUGUUAGGGUCAUUCUUGAGAAGAUGGGUCUGCAGGGUAAAGUCACCCCUUUGCAGGCGAAAAAAAAAUUGGACAAUCUAAAAAAGAAAUACAAAGUAUGUACAGCUGUAUUCAAAUAUGUUUUUUUUUUCUUUUUAGCAAGUUAGAAACUUAUUCAUGUAAACCUGUACUGCUGCUUUUUUUGUCAACUGCCACUUUUUCUUUCCUCUGCCUUUAGGACUUCAAGUAUCCAGGGUCAGGCGAGGGAGUGAGUGGGAAGCCCACUGCUGCUA
rnacentral:lncRNA from 1 species